rnacentral:rRNA from 1 species
GAUGAACGCUAGCGGCAGGCUUAAUACAUGCAAGUCGAGGGGCAUCAAGGUACACGAAAGUGUAUUGUUGGCGACCGGCGGACGGGUGAGUAAUAGGUAGGUAACCUACCUCAUACUGAGGCAUAGCUGGGAGAAAUUCCAGGUAAUUCCUCAUGAGGUUAUAUGACACAUGUGAUAUAAUCAAAGGUAUCGCAAGGUACUGGUAUGAGAUGGGCUUACUGACCAUUAGCUAGUUGGUGAGAUAAGAGCUCACCAAGGCGAAGAUGGUUAGGGGUUUGAGAGAGAGAUCCCCCACAUUGGAACUGAGAUACGGUCCAGACUCCUACGGGAGGCAGCAGUAGGGAAUAUUGGGCAAUGGGCGAAGCCUGACCCAGCCAUGCCGCGUGAAGGAAGACGGCCUUAUGGGUUGUAAACUUCUUUACUAUGCGACUAACUAGUAUUUACGAGAUAAUUCUAUAGAAUGUAGCAUAGACAAAAGCACCGGA